rnacentral:rRNA from 1 species
GUCCUGUGUUGCCAGCAUGCCCUUCGGGGUGAUGGGGACUCACAGGAGACCGCCGGGGUCAACUCGGAGGAAGGUGGGGACGACGUCAAGUCAUCAUGCCCCUUAUGUCUUGGGCUGCACACGUGCUACAAUGGCCGGUACAAUGAGCUGCGAUACCGUGAGGUGGAGCGAAUCUCAAAAAGCCGGUCUCAGUUCGGAUUGGGGUCUGC